rnacentral:misc_RNA from 1 species
UCGAGUUACCGCUCUACAGCCCUUUGUGAACAUACCUAACUGUUGCUUCGGCGGGCAGGGGGUCCCCCGGGGACGCCCUCCCGGCCCCGCCCCCCUACCAGGGGACGUGGCGCCCGCCGGAGGAUACCCAACUCUAUUUUAACGACGUUUCUUCUGAGUGGCACAAGCAAAUAAUUA